GAUGAACGCUGGCGGCGUGCCUAAUACAUGCAAGUCGAGCGAACGGACGAGAAGCUUGCUUCUCUGAUGUUAGCGGCGGACGGGUGAGUAACACGUGGAUAACCUACCUAUAAGACUGGGAUAACUUCGGGAAACCGGAGCUAAUACCGGAUAAUAUUUUGAACCGCAUGGUUCAAAAGUGAAAGACGGUCUUGCUGUCACUUAUAGAUGGAUCCGCGCUGCAUUAGCUAGUUGGUAAGGUAACGGCUUACCAAGGCAACGAUGCAUAGCCGACCUGAGAGGGUGAUCUGCCACCCUGCAACUGAGCCACGGUCCCGACUCCUACGGGAGGCAGCAGUAGGGAAUCUUCCGCAAUGGGCGAAAGCCUGACGGAGCAACGCCGCGUGAGUGAUGAAGGUCUUCGGAUCGUAAAACUCUGUUAUUAGGGAAGAACAUAUGUGUAAGUAACUGUGCACAUCUUGACGGUACCUAAUCAGAAAGCCACGGCUAACUACUUG
rnacentral:rRNA from 1 species